GGGCUUUAUCAGCACAGAUGCUAAAAUUAGAAUGAUAAAGAGAUUACAUAACCCCUGCACAAGGAUGACAUGGAAACUCAUGACGGGUUCCAUAUUUUC
rnacentral:snRNA from 1 species